rnacentral:misc_RNA from 1 species
GAUGAAGAACGCAGCGAAUUGCGAUAAGUAGUGUGAAUUGCAGAAUUCAGUGAAUCAUCGAAUCUUUGAACGCACAUUGCGCCUCCUGGUAUUCCGGGAGGCAUGCCUGUUCGAGCGUCAUCAAAAACCUCAACCCAUGAUUUAUUGUGAGUUGGUUCUGCAUUGGACUCCUUGUGGGUCCUUUGCGAAAUCCAAUGGCGAAGAGCCACGCAACCAAAGCGUAGUAUAACUAUUUCGUUAUGGAAGCGUGGGUGCCUCUGCCGUAACCCCCAAUUUCUUAGUUUUUGACCUCGGAUCAGGUAGGGAUACCCGCUGAACUUAAGCAUAUCAAUAAGCGGAGGA